GAACAAGUGGUGUAGCAAAACGGGGAGAGUAAUGGCGUAGUUGCAGACCUCACGGGCCGGGCUAAACCACAGCCUGGCCCGUGAGGACCGAAUACCUUGUGCAGUGGAACGCAACAAACACGUCCCUGUGAUCCUGCAGCACCAUGUCUCCGCUUUGUAAUUGUAGCGAUACAACCCUGUUGCCUUGUUCUUCACCUCAUGAAACAAGACCAUCCAGAAUUCCUCAACUGUCAUGUCCAGCAUCCACACAUUCAAGAGGCUAUAGUACCUCAAGUCAAGUCCGCCACCACCAGUCAUGCUCUGGUGCCCUCAGAGGGAUGUCUUUGACUCCUGCCAGGAUGCAACAUGCCCAGGUGGACCAAUAACAACGCAAGGACUGCAGUAAUCAAGCUGUAGAUGAAAGACCAAUGAGGUCAAGUAAAACACCACUGAGAUGACAUCUCCACCAAACCAAAUAGUGCCCCUGCAGCUGUCCAAUACCUUAUCUAAACCCAAUGCUGAGUGUGUGUGUGUGAUUGUAGCUUUCGCAUCCAAUCUACAAAGUAGCAGUAUUCUGUUUUUUCAUUGUAGCACUAUGAGAGUGAUGUGGCUAGGGACCCAGAAUUUUUAAAUGACAACUCCUUGUUGUUGUUGAAUCUUUUUGAUGUUAUUUCUCACACAUCAGUAGUUGUUUCUGGAAUGCAAAUUAAGGUUGUUUCUUGACGUUCCAAUUCCAAUGAAUUCCAAAAAAAAGUCUACAAUGGUGUGUGAGGUUAGAAGGGGUGGGUAGUUGGUGGACAGGUAUCUCACUACCUCAGUGACAAUCAUAGGCUAGUAAAUAUCCCCAUGUUUUCUAAGUUAAACCUUGCAGUAUAGUGGAAAUUGCAUGUGAUUCUUUAAAUGCAUCUUUGUUGAAAGGAUUUUUUCUUUCCUUUUUGAAAAUGGUGAAUUGGGAUCAGAAAAUCAUUGCAUGCAUUUUUAAAAUCUGUUUUCUUAUGGACUUUUUGCAGAUAUCCUGAAAAUAUUGUGUGUGUGUGUGUGUGUGUGUGUGUGUGUGUGUGUGUGUGUGUGUGUGUGUGUGUGUGUGUGUGUGUGUGUGUGUGUGUGUGUGUGUGUGUGUGUGUGUAUGUGUGUGUGUGUGUGUGUGUGUGUCUUGGUCCAUCUCAUGAGGUUUCCAUCACCUGCAUGUGCUCCAUACGAAAGGCAAUGACAGAGCAACAGGACUUUGUUUAGUUGUUCAGCAACAGUACUUUAGUUUAGUUCCUCAUAGAGGUAGUAGUAUUCAUAUCCUGGGGUGCUUGCUUUUUGUUUCGUUGUAGUAGGUGAUUCAGUUUGUCUCAAAAGUGGGAUAUAGGAAACUGAAGUGGUGAUUGUAAUGAUAUGUUAAACGAAAUGAUGGGUUGUUGAGUAUGUGUGUACCAAUACCAGAGGAAUUUGAAAUCAUUUCCAGUCAGACUAAUAGUCUAGUACGGUCCAUACAACCAACCCUAGAUACGGGAUCUGUGCAAUACGUUUUCUCUCCCUAUCCUAUUUCCCUGUAAUGGUUUUGAUAUAAAUAUGUAUAUUGUAAAACAAAGUGACAAGUUGUUCAACAAAACAACAAAAUCACCAAUGUCUUCCAUUAAGAAGUGUAUAGUCCCAUAUGCUUAUGUAGCCAGCUUUUAGUGCCAACAUUAUAAUACAUGGCCAUGCAUGCGGGGUAGUGAUGCUUGCUGAGUAAUAUAGUUCUAGUUAUAUAUACCUAUAUCUUUCAAGGUGUAUACACAGUACAAACAGAAUAGACCUUAGAUACGAACUGGGAUGUAGCAUCUUUAUACAGCAUUAGUCCGAGAUUGGUCUUGAAGUGGGGACUCCCAAUGUCUUUGUUCUCUCAUCUCGAUUCGCGUGGUCAGGCCUGGCUGUCUGAUAGCUAGCGUGUUUGUCUGUUUGAGAUAAGCAGGGAAGGGUUAUUUUUAGUCUGUAUGCCUUUUAUUGUCACACGUUUGACCUGCAUGCCCGUUGUCACGGUCCCAGAGAUGCACAUGGUAGUGCUAUAGUCAUAUUUUUUGGGUUUGCUGUUGUUUUUUUGGUUGUUGCUAGUUUAAAUUGCCGUUUGAAGGGUUGUUUAGAUUAUCCUCAUCCACCAUAUACAUUAACUACCCAUCAUCUCCUUUAGUAUGUGAGAUUGAGCCCUCACAGAAGGGUGUGUAGCAAGUGUUCAUCAUCACAUGUACUCUACAGUUUACUCUCUACACUUUAGUUUAACGGAGUAGCAAAGGGGUAGCCUUCAUGAAGUGCACUAGCUGCCACAGUAUGCCAACUAUCUUCCAACCAGUCUUUGACAAUUAUCAAAUUAAUAGUGGAAGAAGCUAUAUAUUUCAAAUAUACAGUAUAUUUGGCUGUACGGUUCAGACCAUUUGAACUGCUUAGAAAGGAGUGCUUGUGUGUAACUAACAAAUCUGCAAAUUUUGGGUUUGUGAUUGUGGCUUGGCCUCGAACAGCCAAGAGUACAAGAUUCUCAUCCUUCUUAGUUGGUAGUUUGCCUAAAGUAGGCUAGAUAGCCUAGAAGACUAAGAGUAGCACAGACUUUUAACUCUAGGUAUGCAUUAUGUUAGAGAAUUAACCAUCUUUAGAUUGAGUAUUAACAUGUAAAUAAAUACCUCACUUUAAUUGGAAAGCAGAGAACAUAUUAAAAGUAGUUCUAAUAAAUAAAAACAAUUAAGCCAUAGCAUACUGGCAUGUAAAGUAGAGUUUAGUAGGAGCAAUAAAACAAGAACAUGUUAUGCAUGAUUUUAGUGCCAGGUUUGGUCCAAUUAAGUGUUGAAAAGAAAAGCACUCUUGUUUCAUGCCUAUCCUAAGGUGAUCCUUACUAAUUGUAAUGAGAAGCCAUCCCAGACCAAGGGAUGUGUCCAUUCUACAUACAGGUGUGGCAAGGGGUAAAAACACACGCUUUGGAAAGCUUUCUAUACAACGAUAUUUUCCAAAUCCCAGUGGAAACAAACGAACGCACACUGGUCUAUUGACACUGCAGGGGACAGUUUCCAGUCCUUUUGACAUUCCAGCAUGCAUAACAUUGCAUGUUUCCAUCGCGACGGCAUUCGUAACAGCAUCAUUACCCAAUGCACAUGAUAUAAAUAAUAUGCAUUGUAUUGCAAUCAAAAGCAAUAUAAACUUGUACAGUGGUUUGCUAUAUUCGAAUACCUAGUAUUUUCUGGGUAAACACACUAAACUGUAUGUCUGAGGUCACCACCGUGGCAACGGCAGUUUUGUCUGUUGUGUUGUGCGUGCGUCUCGUGAUGGUGCGAGGGAGCUAGCCACCUGUGACAGCAUGAGGGCCUCCCCUUACCUGAUAUGCUGCUGCUUUAACGACAACACAAAACGGUGACAAAGACAUGUCCUCAUAUGGCACUUUCCCCUCAUCAGUACUGUACAGAGUCCAGAGACGCUCUCUUCACUCCCAAUUGUAACCCUGUAACAUUACAAAGCCAAACCUCCGCCCACGCCUUCUAAUGAUAUAGACAUGUGAAGAUGUGAAAAUAACCAUGAGUGUAGUCUCUGUCUAUAGGAAUGCAGUGGAAAUAGUGUGUUUUGAUGCAUGACGGGGCAACUUGAAAACGUGUAGAAACUGCAUGCAAUAAUAAUAAUAAUGAUGACUUUUUGUUUCUUUGAAUAUGACUUUAAAUAAUCAUUGCUUGGAAAUGGAUUGGUAACUACGGCAUUGUUGUGAAAAAGAGUUUUGUGUCAAACAAACAAACAAAAAAUAUCUCCCAUUAUUUGUUUUGGUACCUUGUUACUCUUGUUAAUUCGAUCUGGGCAUGAAGUUACGUAGAUACGUAAAUUUAACCAAUGCUUAAACUGAUACUAUGCUGAGUUAAUUUAGCAACAAGUUAAAUUGCUUAAAUGCUGGGUGAAUUAACAUUCUCACGGUUGCCCAGUAGUUUGUGGAUGGAAAACCAUGCUUGCAAAUUGGCUGGUGCCAGAUCGACACCCAUGGUCAGAGAUGUGCAAAGUAGAAGUACUGUUACAGAUAUGAUUACAACACUAGUAGUAUGGUACGGCAUAAUUGCAACUACGUCAUACCAUACUACUAGUGUUGUAAUUACAUUUGUAACAGUACUUCUACUUAAUACACCUUUGCCUAUGGUCUAGUGUACUGUACGUUUAGUAGGGCAUAUUCAGUCCUGACCCACUAGGGGAGCCUCAAACCAAAAGUUGCUUAGUAUCUCUUUAAUACAUUUUUCAGGAUCAGAGAGCACAACAUUGAUUAAAAAACAGACAUACGCAAGCAGUUUCUGUUCCAAAACGGGUAACUCUUGCUGUGCAUUUGUGUAUGUAGCAAUUCAACAAUUCAUGAUAAUGAAUUUGAAUGAUGACCAGCAAUGAAAUCUGUUGUAGCUCCCUGCAUUGUCCUUAUGGAAAGUUGGUUACAAUGUUGAACAUUUAUGCUUUAGAAAGCACAACCGGAAAACCUGGAAAUUGUUCAAAUUCCGUUUGUAAACUCCAAAUGUUGAGGCUGUAGGUUUUGUCCAACUAUGCACUUAACGAGGGGCACCAAGCAUGCUAAGAUGAGCCUCCUGAUCAUUUUGUUGAAAGUGAAAAUGCAUUAUAUAUGUAGCAAUAAAAAGCAGCAUGGUGCCAAUCAUACAAAAA